rnacentral:rRNA from 1 species
AUUGAACGCUGGCGGCGUGCCUAAUACAUGCAAGUAGGCCGCAGUUGCGAACGUGUGAGUAUCGCGUAGGUAACUGCCUACUAGAGGGGGAUAACUAUUGGAAACGAUAGCUAAUACCGCAUACUAGUAGAUGGACCUGCGUUUUAUUAGCUAGUAGGUAGGGUAAUGGCCUACCUAGGCAACGAUACAUAGCCGACCUGAGAGGGUGAGCGGUCACACUGGGACUGAUACACGGCCCAGACUCCUACGGGAGGCAGCAGUAGGGAAUCUUCGGCAAUGGGGGGAACCCUGACCGAGCAACGCCGCGGGAGUGAAGAAGGUUUUCGGAUCGUAAAGCUCUGUUGUUAAGGAAGCGGUACUUAACCAGAAAGGGACGGCUAACUACGUGCCAGCAGCCGCGGUAAUAC